GGGGAGGGGAGGAUGUGCAUUGACGGUACCUAACCAGAAAGCCACGGCUAACUACGUGCCAGCAGCCGCGGUAAUACGUAGGUGGCAAGCGUUGUCCGGAAUUAUUGGGCGUAAAGGGCUCGCAGGCGGUUUCUUAAGUCUGAUGUGAAAGCCCCCGGCUCAACCGGGGAGGGUCAUUGGAAACUGGGGAACUUGAGUGCAGAAGAGGAGAGUGGAAUUCCACGUGUAGCGGUGAAAUGCGUAGAGAUGUGGAGGAACACCAGUGGCGAAGGCGACUCUCUGGUCUGUAACUGACGCUGAGGAGCGAAAGCGUGGGGAGCGAACAGGAUUAGAUACCCUGGUAGUCCACGCCGUAAACGAUGAGUGCUAAGUGUUAGGGGGUUUCCGCCCCUUAGUGCUGCAGCUAACGCAUUAAGCACUCCGCCUGGGGAGUACGGUCGCAAGACUGAAACUCAAAGGAAUUGACGGGGGCCCGCACAAGCGGUGGAGCAUGUGGUUUAAUUCGAAGCAACGCGAAGAACCUUACCAGGUCUUGACAUCCUCUGACAAUCCUAGAGAUAGGACGUCCCCUUCGGGGGCAGAGUGACAGGUGGUGCAUGGUUGUCGUCAGCUCGUGUCGUGAGAUGUUGGGUUAAGUCCCGCAACGAGCGCAACCCUUGAUCUUAGUUGCCAGCAUUCAGUUGGGCACUCUAAGGUGACUGCCGGUGACAACGGGGGAAAGGGGGGGGGAAA
rnacentral:rRNA from 1 species